GUGGGGAAUCUUGCACAAUGGGCGAAAGCCUGAUGCAGCCAUGCCGCGUGAAUGAUGAAGGCCUUAGGGUUGUAAAAUUCUUUCGUCAGGGAUGAUAAUGACCGUACCUGAAGAAGAAGCCCCGGCUAACUUCGUGCCAGCAGCCGCGGUAAUACGAAGGGGGCUAGCGUUGUUCGGAAUUACUGAGCGUAAAGCGCACGUAGGCGGACUUUUAAGUCAGGUGUGAAAUCCCGGGGCUCAACCUCGGAACUGCAUUUGAAACUGGAAGUCUUGAGAUCAGGAGAGGUUAGCGGAAUACCGAGUGUAGAGGUGAAAUUCGUAGAUAUUCGGUGGAACACCAGUGGCGAAGGCGGCUAACUGGACUGAUACUGACGCUGAGGUGCGAAAGUGUGGGGAGCAAACAGGAUUAGAUACCCUAGUAGUCC
rnacentral:rRNA from 1 species